rnacentral:lncRNA from 1 species
GCUGAUGUCAUGCAAGGAGCUGGCACACUGUAGUGGCGCACGCCUUUAACCUUCCUCACUCCAAAAUUCUGCUGAAAGCUGGAGCCAAGAUACACCCAGAGGAAAGAGAAAUGAACCCAAGAUUCCAAAGCAACAGCCUGUUUGUGGAAGCUCAACAGUAACAUCAGGGAAAUCAUUGAAUCCUUCAGAGUCCUUCAGAACACUGCAAAAACAGAAUUCCACUGCGAUGACAAUGAAGACAACUAUGCCUGGGCUCCAUGCUCCUAGCAGAGUAAACUGCAUUAUUGGAUUUAUGUCUAAGCCUAUCUGUAAGGGAGAUACCUUUGUUAUUUUCACCACGUUAGAGAAAGAGAAAUUAGCAUAUAAAUAU